UACGGGGGGGGCAAGCGUUGUUCGGAAUUACUGGGCGUAAAGAGCUCGUAGGCGGUUUGUCAAGUCUGCUGUGAAAGUCCGGGGCUCAACCCCGGAACUGCAGUGGGUACGGGCAGACUAGAGUGCGGGAGAGGAGAGUGGAAUUCCUGGUGUAGCGGUGGAAUGCGCAGAUAUUAGGAGGAACACCAGUGGCGAAGGCGGGUCUCUGGGCCGCAACUGACGCUGAGGAGCGAAAGCGUGGGGAGCGAACAGG
rnacentral:rRNA from 1 species